GAGUUUGAUCCUGGCUCAGAUUGAACGCUGGCGGCAGGCCUAACACAUGCAAGUCGAACGGUAACAGGAAACAGCUUGCUGUUUCGCUGACGAGUGGCGGACGGGUGAGUAAUGUCUGGGAAACUGCCUGAUGGAGGGGAUAACUACUGGAACGGUAGCUAAUACCGCAUAACGUCGCAAGACCAAAGAGGGGGACCGUUC
rnacentral:rRNA from 1 species